AACGAACGCUGGCGGCAUGCCUAACACAUGCAAGUCGAACGAGACCUUCGGGUCUAGUGGCGCACGGGUGCGUAACGCGUGGGAACCUGCCCUUAGGUUCGGAAUAACUCCCCGAAAGGGGUGCUAAUACCGGAUAAUGUCUUCGGACCAAAGAUUUAUCGCCUUUGGAUGGGCCCGCGUUGGAUUAGCUAGUUGGUAGGGUAAAAGCCUACCAAGGCGACGAUCCAUAGCUGGUCUGAGAGGAUGAUCAGCCACACUGGGACUGAGACACGGCCCAGACUCCUACGGGAUGCAGCAGUGGGGAAUAUUGGACAAUGGGCGAAAGCAUGAUCCAGCACUGCCGCGUGAGUGAUGAAGGCCUUGGGGUUGUAAAGCUCUUUUACCCGGGAUGAUAAUGACAGUACCGGGAGAAUAAGCUCCGGCUAACUCCGUG
rnacentral:rRNA from 1 species